GUCGAACGGUGAACACGGAGCUUGCUCUGUGGGAUCAGUGGCGAACGGGUGAGUAACACGUGAGCAACCUGCCCCGGACUCUGGGAUAAGCGCUGGAAACGGCGUCUAAUACUGGAUAUGAGCUGCGACCGCAUGGUCAGCAGUUGGAAAGAUUUUUUGGUCUGGGAUGGGCUCGCGGCCUAUCAGCUUGUUGGUGAGGUAAUGGCUCACCAAGGCGUCGACGGGUAGCCGGCCUGAGAGGGUGACCGGCCACACUGGGACUGAGACACGGCCCAGACUCCUACGGGAGGCAGCAGUGGGGAAUAUUGCACAAUGGGCGGAAGCCUGAUGCAGCAACGCCGCGUGAGGGAUGACGGCCUUCGGGUUGUAAACCUCUUUUAGCAAGGAAGAAGCGAAAGUGACGGUACUUGCAGAAAAAGCGCCGGCUAACUACGUGCCAGCAGCCGCGGUAAUACGUAGGGCGCAAGCGUUAUCCGGAAUUAUUGGGCGUAAAGAGCUCGUAGGCGGUCUGUCGCGUCUGCUGUGAAAACCCGAGGCUCAACCUCGGGCCUGCAGUGGGUACGGGCAGACUAGAGUGCGGUAGGGGAGAUUGGAAUUCCUGGUGUAGCGGUGGAAUGCGCAGAUAUCAGGAGGAACACCGAUGGCGAAGGCAGAUCUCUGGGCCGUAACUGACGCUGAGGAGCGAAAGGGUGGGGAGCAAACAGGCUUAGAUACCCUGGU
rnacentral:rRNA from 1 species